GCAACCCCCCCCCCCCCCCCCCCCCCCCCCCCGGCCAGGCUGACUGUAGUGGUGGAAGUAGAAGUAGAGGGAGGCAGAGGAUCAGGUAAGAAGUCCUUACACAUUCAUUCUUAGAGAGAGUGCAGCCUGGGGGACCCCCUUGGGAGAGGGGAAGGAGGAGGUCAUUUUACGGCUUUAGCUGCUGCAGAUGCUGUUUGAGGAAGCUCUGCUUCUCAGGGGCUCUGAUCCUGUGCGUAGUACUCUAGGUUAGGAAACUGAGGCCAAAGUUGAGAGCAGGACCUAGGGGUCCUGGCAGUUUCCCCCAUGAGAGUUGAUAUAUAGCCCAUCUUUCUUAGGCCCUGAGGAGACCUGUUGCCCCACACUCCUUCUGGAGGGGCCCAAGAGCAUCUGCCUGCUUCAGCCAGGCACUCCAGACACUCAGCUGUUGCAGAUGCUGUUUGAGGAAGCUCUGCCCCACGGGAACCCUGAUCCUGUGCUUAUUACCCUUAGCCUGGUGCAGGGUGAUGGAAAAUGCCAGUGAGGUGGAGGUGUCCGACUCAAGAGCUGCCUUGGAGCUGUACUUGCAGGCUGCAGGGGAUGAAGGCAGGGCCUGAUCCUUCUGAGGAGCCUGGGAUCCAGGGCAUGUGGCGAGGGGCCUUGAAGAUCCUGCAGCUCCCCAGAGCCCUAGAUUGCCCCCUGCUGCAGGUGUUGGCUGGUAAGGUUAUUGGUGAGCAGGUGGAGGGUUCUCUGCCCUGGAUUGUCUCACGGCUCCUGGAAGGAAACAACUACAGCGGCCUUCUUCUUCGCCUGGACCCUCAAGGUGGCCUGGGGGGGUGGGGGGUUCUUGGCGGAAGCUCUGGGAUCUGACUUAUGCCUGACCCACCCUCUUACCAAAUCAGCUGCAGCCCCAACUGCAGUCCAGAGAAAGCCUAACCCUCUGGGAGAGCCAGGAUUCAGAAAGGUCCCAGGAUGGCUAGAUUGCCAAAGUCUGGAGAGGCAGGGCCAAUAGAAAAGCAACCCCUCACCCUUCAGAGACUUUCAACAGUUUACCAAGCAUUUUUACACUAAUGCCUUUUAUUCUUACCACAAGCCCAUGAGACAUAUCUAAGUUAGAUGAGGAAAGAGAGGGAAGCCUAAUUUAUAAAUGAGGAAAGGGAGGAUCAAAGGAGGGAAAGAACUUGCCUGUUUUCACACACUUAUUAAAAAUCAGGCCUCUGUGAAAUGGUAUGAUGUCAGAGACGUGGGGGAGUUCAAGUGGAGGGUAUAGAGCAAACAAGAAUGGUCAAGAGUUGAUAAUUAUUGAAGCUGGGUGAUAAAUAGAUGGGUUUCCUGUACUUUGUAUAUGUUUGAAAUUUUCUAUAAUAAUAAUAAUAAUAAUAAUAAAAAGCUUGGUUAUCUGUCUCCAAAACUAAUGAACACACAUUAAUUUGGCUAAUAUGCUCCCAGACCACUCACUGUGCCAGGCCCUGUGGAGUGAGGAGGAUAAAAUAGGGCAGUUCAUGCCCUCAAGGAUAAAGCAGUGAAGGAUAAAAGUGUAUUUAUCCACUGGCCAGUUUGGUAUCAUGAUUAAGGGCCCAGGCCUUAAUGUCAGACAAAACUGGACUUAAGUCAGCUCUGCUACUCACCAGGAAGUUGCUUGACUUCUCUGAGCUUCAUUUUGCUUCACCUGGGAAAUAUGGGGGUAAGACAAAUUAGAGUUGCUGCCCCAUUGGAGUGUUAUGUGGAUAAAAAAAGAGAAUCCAUGAAAAGCCUUGGCACAGUGCCAUCAAGCACAUGUAAACACGUGAUAGGCAUUAGCUAUUUUUAUAAAUAGUGCUAUUAAUAAAAAUUACAAGUAUUAUAGGCAGUGUGCUUUGGAAUCCAGAAGGAGUGAUUCACUCUGAAUCUCCCCUCACUAGGUGGCUCCCCGAGCUUGCUCUGGGCUGCUCUGUUGGGGGCCGAGGAAAGGAGGAUGCAGGUGAAACAGGUGAGGCCCACCCUGUGGGAUGCCGUAGCAGAGGCCCGGGCCUGCCGGGCUGGCCUGAAGAGCCUGCGUUCAGGCCUCCUUGGAGACAACCUGACAGACAGUGGGCUCAGCCAGUUGGGCAGGGCAUUGUGAGAAUUGCAGGUGGUAAAAGCCUGGAGCCGGCGCCCAGGAAACCGGAUGCUCAAAAGGGUAAAAGCUGAGGCUGUGGGGCUUCCAGAACUACAGGUAGGUCUUCUUGUUCAACCUCUUAGGAGCCCCAUUGACCUCCGCCUUCUUCUCCUGUUUAGAGAGCACUAUGAGGAGGCCCUUCCUUGAUUCACUAAUUUAUUGAUUCCCAGACAUUUAUUGACUUCUCACUCUGUGUUAGGCACAGUGCUAUGUAGACCCUGGGAAAUCCCUGUCCUCAUGGAGUUUAUAAUUUCUGGAAAGAAACUAUUAUAACACCAUGAUCAGUGCUCUGAAGGCCUUAUCAACACAGGGUUCUAUGGGGCGUCUAAGUUAGUCUUGGCAAGAGAAGGAGUGAACGUUUCAUGGAAGUUGAUUCCUAAAGGAGGUGGCCAGGAAAAAUGAGUGAAGAACAUUCCAGGCACGGAAGAUAACAGGCAAAGUCUCAGAAAUAAGUAAGAGCUUGAUCUCUUUGGGUGACUGCAAGCAGCUCAUUUUGCUGGAGAAUAGCUUGAGGAAGAGUCAAGAGAGAAGGAUUAAAGAGUGAAGUAGGGGCCAGGUCAUAAAGGGCUUUGUAAAUUUAUUGAGAUGUUUGGACUUCAUCUUGAAGGGGAAACCAUAGAAUUUUUUUAAGCAGAGAAGACAACAUUGCUUACAUUUUUCAGGUGAGCAAACUGAGGCUCAGAGAAGGGAUCUGAGUAUCUCAGGGUCACUGAUAUAAUCAAAGGUAGCAGAGGGGCAAACAUAUCCUAGUCUUUAGACUCAAUAUGGUACUUUUGCAUCCGUUUAGAAUGCAUGGCCUCUCCUGUGCAGAAGGGGGCACUGUCUUCCAGGAUUUGCCACAGUGUGGCUGGAACGCUGCUCCUGUCCGCCUCCUGGUCCUUCCCUUUUUGUAAUUACUGACUUGUUUUUACAGCCCUGAGUUCUGGGAAUUAGGCAUGUAAGCUCCCAGUUAUUGAGAGGUUCCUGCCACUUGUGCUUUGGGUGCCUUAUCUUUUUUUUUUUUUUUUUUUUUAAGAUUUUAUUUAUUUAUUUGACAGAGAGAGAGAGAUAGCGAGAGCAGGAACACAGGCAGGGGGAGUGGGAGAGGGAGAAGCAGGCUUCCCGCCAAGCAGGGAGCCCAAUGUGGGACUCGAUCCCAGGACUCUGGGAUCAUGACCUGAGCCGAAGGCAGACGCUUAACGACUGAGCCACCUAGGUGCCCCAGGGUGCCUCAUCUUAUUUCAUGCUCUCUACAACUUUCAUCAGCUCUAUUUUACAUGGAUUCAAAAGACUAGUCACCUGCCUGACAUCACACAGCUGAGGAGAGGAGGGGCUGGGACCCCGAUCUGCCUGAUCUUAAAGCCCUGAGCUCAGAAGGAAGGGUAUGGAAUUCUCACUCCUACUAUAUUCUUGCAGCUGAUAGGUUCAACAGCAAGCCACAGCCCAGGCUUCCAGGGAGAGCCCAAAGGUGGGUUUGGGGCUUGGGGUGGAGUCAGGUAUCUUCUCCACCUUUACUGGGCUUAACUGCAUUUUCUUCCAGUGGUAGGAAUAACAGCAUCUCUAGGAACUGGGCUCCACCAAAAUCAUCCUCUUAGGGACUCUGAGGAACAGGUAAUACCUCAUGUGCCCCAGAACAGCGGAAGAUGUUGGGGGAGUGGAGUUGCAGAGCCCUGUUAAUAUGUCUACUGCUUCCUUGCCCCAACAUCAGGGAGAAAUAUGGAGCUUCUGGCAAAAAGAAGACCCAAAAGCCUAUGUGAUUCCUAAGGGAGGGGCACGGGAAGGCUAUUUUGCUACUGGGUCACAUUAGGGGUAUAGGAUCCUUCAGGCCUCCAUGGCAGCUAUUAGCAGAGCCAAUACCUCUCCUUUCUCCCUAUGACCUCCAAGUCUCUGUCCAGGCUCCUGGCUCUUACAGGCCGGUUAGGUCCUGGACACGUUCUAGGAGCAGCUCUGGUAGUGGGGUUCUGUUGAAAAGUUGGACCCUGAGUCCCAAGGCUAUGAACACACAUGGGCUUCUGGCUGAGCCUAGACUAAUGCCACCUAGCCCUGGCAGGUCCCAGAUGUGGCCCUGCAGUUCUUCUUGGCCCAGGCACGGAGGAAAAGACUGCACGAACAGCACCAAAUAUGGAUCCAAGAGGAACUGAAGUAUUUGGAACAGGAGGAGGAGGUGACAGGUGACCAGGUCAAAGGCCUGGUGGCUGGAGAGGAGGUAAGGAGGGUCAAGUAGGGGACCUGAGGCUUCUUCUAAUUGGUCCAGGCACUGUGCCGGGCGCUGGGAUCCAGCCUCAGUCACAACAGAGUGGGCCAUACCCUCUCCUGGUCCUUACAGCUUUGUGGGGGACAGAUGAAGCCAUUUGCAGGGCUAAAGUGCUGUGAUGCAGGGAGCUAAGGGCUUGCGGGAACAGAGAGGUGUGCCGGACCCAGGCUGGAGUGGAUCACAGACGAUGGCAUUUAGCGGAGACAAAAAACCAAAUCAGCCAAAGGAAUUCACGGGACUGAGCUCUGCUUGGGCAGUCUGUACUUAUCACAUAGAGGCAGAGUACAUAUAACUCGUUUGAACAAAUUAAGAAACCAAAACUUGUGUCCAUGGGGGUUGUGGGGAUAUGUUCUGAGGACAAUACUGUAUGAGCAAAAGUCCAGAGGGAAGCAGUGGCAAAGUAGUCUGGGUAUUGCAAAUUGUCCAUCUGGUGGGCCCUGGCAGGUGCAGGUCAGAGGAGAGGCUAAAGAGACCAGUGUGUGCCAUGCCUCUGAUCUGGACUUUACCCUAAGAAUGACAGUGAACCACUGAAAGGCAUGUGUCAUCUCAGUUCUGCCCCUCACUAGCCAUGUGAAUUUGGCAAGGUUCGGUCACUUCUCUGAUCCACAGUUUCCAAAUCUAUCUACCAGAUUUGGAAAACUAAAAUGGCAACUACCUCAUAUGGUUUUCAUUUGAUAAACUGAAAUAACACACAUGAAGUGUUUAGAACAGAGCCUGGCACACAGGUGGCACUGAACAAGACUAUGUAUUAUCACUGAAGGCCUCCAAGAAGAGGCAGAGAUGGCCCCGGGAGCAGACGGUGCUGAGGCUCCAGCUGGAGGUCCUUCAGGCAGAGCAGGACACUGCGGAGCGGGACCUCGCAGCCCUCUAUGACCUGCACGUGCAGGCUGCCCAAGCUCAGA